UACGGAAGGCAGCAGUGGGGAAUAUUGCACAAUGGGCGCAAGCCUGAUGCAGCCAUGCCGCGUGUAUGAAAAAGGCCUUCGGGUUGUAAAGUACUUUCAGUCGUGAGGAAGGUGUUAAGGUUAAUAACCUUAGCAAUUGACGUUAGCGACAGAAGAAGCACCGGCUAACUCCGUGCCAGCAGCCGCGGUAAUACGGAGGGUGCGAGCGUUAAUCGGAAUUACUGGGCGUAAAGGGCACGCAGGCGGUUAAUUAAGUUGGAUGUGAAAUCCCCGGGCUUAACCUGGGAAUGGCAUUCAAGACUGGUUAGCUAGAGUCUUGUAGAGGGGGGUUAGAAUUCCAUGUGUAGCGGUGAAAUGCGUAGAGAUGUGGAGGAAUACCGGUGGCGAAGGCGGCCCCUGGACAAAGACUGACGCUCAUGUGCGAAAGCGUGGGGAGCAAACAGGGAUUAGAUA
rnacentral:rRNA from 1 species